AGCAGCACAUAAAUACUGGAGGUGAUUGUGGUGUUAUCCAGUAUUGCUGUUCUGCUGU
rnacentral:pre_miRNA from 1 species